rnacentral:tRNA from 1 species
GGGGAUUUAGCUCAGUGGUAGAGCACUUGCCUAGCAAGUAUAAGGCCCUGGGUUCGGUCCCCAGCUCUG